CUCUAUAUUUUUUUGAAGUUUCUCCUAUAAAUGUAGAACUCUAAACUAACAAAAGUAGAAAAUGGAAGUGCUGAAUUACCAGCCACAGUAUCUGUACAACUUUGUGGGCAUAAAGAAAGCAAGAACUUUUCUUUUCCUUUACUUCUUUAUUGCGAAUAGUAAAACUUCACCCACAGAAUCUUUCUGGGCCUCAACUUUCUCACCUAUAAAAGCAGGGCUUAGAGCCAGAAGAUGAUCAUGAAAAUCUUCGCAGCACAAAUAGUCUGUAAUUCUAUAUGAUAAAUUAGUGUCAGAUCUGAUUGAUUGAUUAAGAGUUAGUGAUCUAAAUUCUACUUAAGGAUUUAAUUGUAAUUGUGUGCAACUGAGCAAUUUAAUAUCUUUGUGCCUUCAUUUUUCCAUAUGUCCCUUCCUAAAAUCAUAAAAAGAAUAAAACAAUACAUGUGAAACACUUGGCUCUCUAUAUAAGAAAGAUCACAUAGCUGUAUAACACUGUACAAAUCCGCGUUAGUUAAUCCCUUCCUCUGUGAUAUGCCACAAUUUCUUCCUCAUUGUCAUCUGGGUUCUCAUCUUUGCCACUUAAUUGCUUAUUCUGAAAUCACCAUGAAUAAUUUGUUGGGUACCUAAACAUAGAAGGCAUGGUUUCAGGCAGGGCCUAAAUAAUGAGAUGCCUUCUUCAGAUGCAUGGACAUAUAUGUCCCUACUUUGAACGUAUUUUCUUAUUCCAAGAUAUGUUCUUUCCUUUGCCUCUUUCCUCUCUUUUUUUCUCUUAUUUUUGCUCCCAAUGCUUCAUUCUUAAUAAACACUUUCCUCUCUGCUCUGCUAAUUUCCUUCAUUAAUUUUUACUCUCCAAAUCCCUUACUAUGAAAAGAACUAAUUGCCCAUCCUAUGAAUAAUCCUGGAACUUCACUAAAGCAGUAUAUUUUUCUAGAAAGCAAAAUGUACUAUACAGCAGCUGUGUGUGUGUUGAACACUAUCAAAGGAGGUUUAGCUAUUAAAUAACUAAAAAGAACUUAUAAUACAGAGUACAUUACCCCAGCAGGUACUCAAAAAUGAAUUUGCUCUAACAUUCCCGGAAGUACAUUUUCAUAAAAGAUGGCCAUUAGUACAGUAAUUGAGAGGAUUUAAUACACACAUCAUUAAAUGGACAACAAUAUUUAAAUCAAAAUGAAAACAGAAGAAAGCCAUGAAUAUCAAAUAUCCUUCAUUAGGGAACUAAUCAGUUGUUUCUCUUUCUUUAAGUCAAUGAAUUUUUUCCUUAUCCUUAUGUAGGUAGUUCUCUCACCUCCAUCUACUACUAAACAAUUUGGAGCAGUAAUUUAAGAUAUUACAGCCUGUUGAAGCAAAUUAUCUUUCAGCAUUUGCCACUUUCUAAAAAAUGAUAAAAUGGUGAAAGUGAAAAAAAAUAGCUUAAGAACAUAUCAUUUCACAGAGCCUUCUCACUAUAGACACCUACCUUACUUUGCAUUGGUGAGCAGAUGCUGUGGUGACCCAAACUAAAAGCUCUUGGUUCAUUUUAUACCCUUCAGGAUAAUCCCUCUGAUCUUCUUGUUUAUACAAUUGCAUUUGAUUUACUGCUUUCUUAUCUGAAAAGCAUCUAUUGAAAAUUCAUACUGAAUUCCAAAUAAAAUGUAUUUAGACAAACAAGCUCACAAUAUCUUUACCUGGAAACUGACAUUAUUAAA
rnacentral:lncRNA from 1 species